GACGAACGCUGGCGGCGUGCUUAACACAUGCCAGUCGAACGGAACGGCCCUGCUUUUGUGGGGUGCUCUAGUGGCGAACGGGUGACUAACACGUGAGUUACCUACACCUGACUUUGGGAUAACUUAAUGCCACUGGGUCUCAUCCCGGCUAGGAGCUCCUGCUGCUGGGUGGGGGUUGGGAAGGUUCGGCGGUUGGUGAUGGACUCGCGGCUCAUCAGGUUGUUGGUUGGGUAGUGGCUUACCAAGGCUAUGCCGGGUGGCCGGGCUGGGAGGGGGACCGGCCAAAUUGGGACUGGAAUGAGGCACAGACUACUACGGGAGGCAGGAGUGGGGAAGAUUGCAUAAGGGGCUGAAGCCUGAUGCAGCAACGCAGCGUGGGGGAUGAGGGCAAUCGGGUAGUAUUCCGCUUUCGCCUGUGACGAAGCGUGAGUGACGGUAAUGGGUAAAGAAGCACCGGCUAACUACGUG
rnacentral:rRNA from 1 species